GGGGCGCACGGUGGAUGCCUAGGCACUGAUGGCCGAUGAAGGGCGUGGCAAGCUGCGAUAAGCCGCGGGGAGCUGCAAGCGGGCUUCGAUCCGCGGAUUCCCGAAUGGGGAAACCUGGCUCGGCAAACCCGAGUCACCUAGCCUUUGCUAGGGGGAUACCCGGCGAAGUGAAACAUCUCAGUAGCCGGAGGAAAGGAAAUCGAAAGAGAUACCCCAAGUAGUGGUGAGCGAAAGGGGUGUAGCCUAAACCGAUCGCGUGCUAAAGCCUGCGGGCGUUGCGCGGUCGGGGUUGAGGGAGCGUACCGGGCCUAACCGCAGGUAGGCCGGGCAGUUACAAACCGCAUGGUUAGUCGAACGGUGUUGGAAAAGCCGGCCAUAGAGGGUGAAAGCCCCGUAGGCGAAAGUCAUGCGGCUGCCUGGGUGCGCAUCCCAAGUAAGCCGGAGCACGCGGAAUUCUGGCUGAAUCCGGGCCGACCACGGUCCAAGGCUAAAUACCAUCAGUGACCGAUAGCGCAUAGUACCGAGAGGGAAAGGUGAAAAGAACCCCUGGCGGGGAGUGAAAUAGACCUGAAACCGUGUGCCCACAAGCUGUCGGAGCCUGACUUGAAGGCAACUUCAAGCCGGGUGACGGCGUGCCUAUUGAAGAAUGAGCCGGCGAGUUGUAGCGCGUGGCGAGGUUAAGGGCGUAAACGUCCGAAGCCGUAGGGAAACCGAGUCCGAAUAGGGCGCUAGUCGCGCGUUGCAGACCCGAAGCCGUACGAUCUAUCCAUGGCCAGGUUGAAGUCCGGGUGACACCGGAUGGAGGACCGAACCAGUUGGUGUUGCAAAACCAUUGGAUGAGCUGUGGAUAGGAGUGAAAAGCUAAUCGAGUACGGUGAUAGCUGGCUCUCCCCGAAAUGCAUUUAGGUGCAGCCUCCUGUGUUCAGUGGUGGAGGUAGAGCACUGGAUGGGUGAGGGGGGUGAUGACCCUACCGAGCUCAACUAAACUCCGAAUGCCACCACUUAAUAGCAGGGGAGUGAGACCGUGGGGGAGAAGCUUCACGGUCGAAAGGGAAACAGCCCAGACCGACGGCUAAGGUCCCAAACGCGAGCUAAGUGUUAUAAGGAUGUGGAAGAGCUUAGACAGCCAGGAGGUUGGCUUAGAAGCAGCCAUCCUUGAAAGAGUGCGUAAUAGCUCACUGGUCGAGCGCUUCUGCGCCAAAAAUGUAGGGGGCUAAGCUCGCGACCGAAGCCUCGGAUCCGAAGACUUAGGUCUUUGGAUGGUAGGGGAGCGUUCCUGUCGGGUCGAAGUCGCAUCGUGAGGUGCGGUGGACUGGCAGGAAGUGAGAAUGCCGGUAUGAGUAGCGUUAAAGCAAGUGAAAGACUUGCUCACCGGAAGCCCAAGGGUUCCUGGGGAAGGGAAUCCGCCCAGGGUUAGGCGGGGCCUAAGGCGUAGCCGAAGGGCGAAGCUGAUGGACAGCCGGUAGACAUUCCGGCCCCACCUUGGCAACGUUUGUACCGAAGGGGUGACGCAGGGAGCUAGGCGCGCUGGGCGAUGGAAUGCCCAGUCCAAGGGAGUAGGGGGAGCUUUCAGGCAAAUCCGGAAGCUCGUUAACCCCGAGACCUGAUGGGGAGCCUUAAUUAUAAGGCGAAGGCGUUGACGCUGCACUGCCAAGAAAAGCCUCUAGGGAGGAGUCAGGGUGCCCGUACCCUAAACCGACACAGGUGGGCUGGUUGAGCAGACUGAAGGUGGACGGGAUAACUCUCGCUAAGGAACUCUGCAAGUUGACCCCGUAACCUAGGGAGAAGGGGUGCCCGCGUUAGGUGAACUCUUUUACAGGGCUAGCCGAGGCGGGUGGCAGAAACCAGGUCCAGGCGACUGUUUAAUAAAAACACAGGGCUCUGCUAAAGGCGAAAGCCGAUGUAUAGGGCCUGACACCUGCCCGGUGCCGGAAGGUUAAGGGGAGGGGUUAGCCAAAGCGAUUUGGCGAAGCUCCAAACUGAAGCCCCGGUAAACGGCGGCCGUAACUAUAACGGUCCUAAGGUAGCGAAAUUCCUUGUCGGGUAAGUUCCGACCUGCACGAAAGGUGUAACGAUCUGGACGCUGUCUCAGCGAGAGACCCGGUGAAAUUGUGGGACCGGUAAAGACGCCGGUUACCCGUGGUGGGACGGGAAGACCCCGUGGAGCUUUACUGUAGCCUGACAUUGAAUUUCGGUACGUCAUGUACAGGAUAGGUGGGAGGCUGUGAAGCUGAGGCGCCAGCCUCAGUGGAGCCGCCCUUGGGAUACCACCCUUGACGUGCUGGGGUUCUAACCGCGAAAGCGGGACCGUGUCAGGUGGGCAGUUUGACUGGGGCGGUCGCCUCCUAAAGAGUAACGGAGG
rnacentral:rRNA from 1 species